UACGUAGGGUGCAAGCGUUGUCCGGAAUUAUUGGGCGUAAAGAGCUCGUAGGCGGCUUGUCGCGUCGGCUGUGAAAACCUGGGGCUCAACCCCGGGCCUGCAGCCGAUACGGGCAAGCUAGAAUUCGGUAGGGGAGACUGGAAUUCCUGGUGUAGCGGUGAAAUGCGCAGAUAUCAGGAAGAACACCCGUGGCUAAGGCGGCUCUCUAGUACGGUACUGACGCUGAGACGCGAAAAGCGUGGGGAGCGAACAGG
rnacentral:rRNA from 1 species